AGAACGAACGCUGGCGGCAUGCCUAACACAUGCAAGUCGAACGAGACCUUCGGGUCUAGUGGCGCACGGGUGCGUAACGCGUGGGAACCUGCCUUUAGGUUCGGAAUAACUCAGAGAAAUUUGAGCUAAUACCGGAUAAUGUCUUCGGACCAAAGAUUUAUCGCCUUUAGAUGGGCCCGCGUAGGAUUAGCUAGUUGGUGGGGUAAUGGCCUACCAAGGCGACGAUCCUUAGCUGGUCUGAGAGGAUGACCAGCCUCACUGGGACUGAGACACGGCCCAGACUCCUACGGGAGGCAGCAGUGGGGAAUAUUGGACAAUGGGCGCAAGCCUGAUCCAGCCAUGCCGCGUGAGUGAUGAAGGCCUUAGGGUUGUAAAGCUCUUUUAGCAGGGAAGAUAAUGACGGUACCUGCAGAAAAGCCCCGGCUAACUUCGUGCCAGCAGCCGC
rnacentral:rRNA from 1 species